GAUGAACGCUGGCGGCGUGCCUAAUACAUGCAAGUCGAGCGAACAGACGAGGAGCUUGCUCCUCUGACGUUAGCGGCGGACGGGUGAGUAACACGUGGAUAACCUACCUAUAAGACUGGGAUAACUUCGGGAAACCGGAGCUAAUACCGGAUAAUAUAUUGAACCGCAUGGUUCAAUAGUGAAAGACGGUUUUGCUGUCACUUAUAGAUGGAUCCGCGCCGCAUUAGCUAGUUGGUAAGGUAACGGCUUACCAAGGCAACGAUGCGUAGCCGACCUGAGAGGGUGAUCGGCCACACUGGAACUGAGACACGGUCCAGACUCCUACGGGAGGCAGCAGUAGGGAAUCUUCCGCAAUAGGCGAAAGCCUGACGGAGCAACGUCGCGUGAGUGAUGAAGGUCUUCGGAUCGUAAAACUCUGUUAUUAGGGAAGAACAAAUGUGUAAGUAACUAUGCACGUCUUGACGGUACCUAAUCAGAAAGCCACGGCUAACUACGUG
rnacentral:rRNA from 1 species